GAGUAUCAUGCCCUUCGGGGUAGAUCUCCACCCUUGAAUAACAUACCUUUGUUGCUUUGGCAGGACGCACUCGUGCCAGGGGCUUCGGCUCUUGAGUGCCUGCCAGAGGACCACAACUCUUGUUUUAAACCAUGUUUUACUCUGAGUGGCGAAAGCAAAAAAAUAAAUCAAAACUUUUAACAACGGAUCUCUUGGCUCU
rnacentral:misc_RNA from 1 species